rnacentral:sRNA from 1 species
GGAUGUGAAGGCUAUCUGGCUGUGACAUCCAUCACCCCAUUGAUCACCAGGGUUGAUUUGGCUGAUAUGGUUGGCUAGGCAGAUGUCCUCUUCCUUCCUCACCAUUCAUGUGAGUCUCUCCAGAAGCUUUGUGCUUAGUCAAAGAGCAUAUUUGGGAGCUACUUUCUUCCCUGAUCCAGCUUUCUAGUCCUUUUUCCAACUAUUACACCAUCUUCCCAGACAAUACCUUGGAUACACCUGCAUAUUAGCCAUAAGACUCAGGCAAAAACUGGUAAAGUCAUGGAUCUGUUGGUAUAU